rnacentral:rRNA from 1 species
AUUGAACGCUGGCGGCAGGCCUAACACAUGCAAGUCGAACGGAGCGGCGGACGGGGGAGUACGGCCUAGGAAUCUGCCUGGGCGUGGGGGAUAACGUCCGGAAACGGGCGCUAAUACCGCCUACUCUCAGAUGAGCAUAGGUGGGAUUGGCUAGUUGGUGGGGUAAAGGCAUACCAAGGCGACGAUCCGUAGCUGGUCUGAGAGGAUGAGCAGUCACACUGGAACUGAGACACGGUCCAGACUCCUACGGGAGGCAGCAGUGGGGAAUAUUGGACAAUGGGCGAAAGCCUGAUGCAGCCAUGCCGCGUGUGUGAAGAAGGUCUUCGGAUUGUAAAGCACUUUAAGUUGGGAGGCGUUACCAACAGAAUAAGCACCGGCUAACUUCGUGCCAGCAGCCGCGGUAAUUC